rnacentral:tRNA from 1 species
GCGGGGAUAGUUCAGUUGGGAGAACGUCAGACUGAAGUACAACUUCAUCAACAAUCUGAAGGCCGUGCGUUCGAUCCGCACUCACCGCA